GCAACGGCAAGUUUCCCCGGCUUGGCUUUGAACACAAAAGGGGCCAGGACGCCUGGAGAAUCUCCACACACACAGCCGGGAACAAGAGCUCUUGUUUUUGUUUUAUUUCGUCUCUGGCUAGAGAGGGAGGGAAAGCGGGCGACAUUCUUGCCCGCCCCCAAGGAGGAUUCGCAGCCACUGCUGGGACGGGCGGCCUGCGGUGGGGUUUGGAACUUCGUCAGAAGCCAUUUGCGAAUGGUCGCGAGCAACUAGGGCAGCCUUUCAUGUUGUCGUUUCCAAUUCCUUCCAGCUUCGACGUGGGUUAGGUGGCAAUCCCACAGAGUUAUAGCCGCCUGGGAGCGUGGCCUCGUCGCUAAGACAGGAACAGGUUCGGAGGCUCUGAAGUAAGCGACUUGUGAGAUGACUGCUUCCACCUGCUUUGCCUCACCCUCCAGCCCUAGGAGCUUUCAAAAUGGAGUUGAUUCCAGAAGAACUCUGAGGAAACUUUCUGGCCUUUGGGAUUCAGGCAUAAGAGAUGCAGGCGAGUCAGCUUUGGGACUACUUUUGGAUGUGAAAUUGUUGGACAUUUUACUUGACCUAUUGAUAAGAUUUAUGCUUGCUUACAUUUUGAUGUAUGUGAAAUGAACUAUUUAUUUUAGUGUUAUGUUGUCAUGAUACUAUACUUUUUAUUAUGCAUUAUUGUACUACUGUAUUUAGAUUUCAUGUGAAUCACUUUGAGCACAUGUGUUUAUGGAAAAUGUGGUACAUAAAUAAACGGAUUGUGAUAGCAUACAUACACAUAUACACAUACUAUGUGGUUUUUUAAAUUUAUUGAAUGAAUAUUUAUUGUUACGGUUCUUAGACCAGCAGACAAAGAUACAAAAUGAGAAGAUAAAAACGAAAUAAGGUUAAAAACAGUUAAAACAAUUAAGCCCAAAGUAGUGCUGGAAGUAAAUUCCUGUUGAGGUCAGUACUAUAUUAGUGCUCAGUGGUCAGAGUCCUUCUCCAAUGUAUGGCCGCCACACAGAAGCUUGCCACCUUGGCGGUCACUUCUAAAGUGGCGUCCAAUAAAAGAAAUUGGACAUAAAAGGCCUCAUCCCAGCCGGGGAUACUUUGCAGGAUAGGGGUAACAAGGGCAAAACGUAGAUCGCGGUAAAAGGUACUUUUAAAUUUAUUAUUGCAUUUAUAUCCCAAGGAGCUCAAGGUGGUGUGCAUGGUUCUCCCCCUCUCCAUUUUAUCUGUAAAAGCGCAUCGGCUAUGGGGCAGUAUAUAAAUGUAAUAAAUAAAAUAAAUUAUCUUCAAACAAUCCUGUGAGGUAGGUUAGGCUGAGAGGUAGUGGCUGGCCCAAGAUCACCCAGUGAGCUUCAUGACAAAGUGGGGAUUUGGACUUCCACACUGCUAGCAAAAAUAAAAUAAAUUUUAAAAAUUUAAAAAUCCAACAAUAGUUAGCAAUGGCAUUGCUACUGCGUAUUGGGUGGGUAAGGGCUGAUUUUCAUUGUGAGGUAGUACAUAAUAAAUAGCACUCGAUGCCUGUAGCAAACAUACAUCAGUUUGAAACAUCUACCAUAUGACAUGUGAAAUGGCCUUUGGUUCAUGCAGUAGGAAGACGAGGACCAGAUAACACAUUUAAUUUUUUGUUUAAUUAAAUAUUUAUUAUUAAAUAUAUUAUUAAUCAAGUUAAGUUUAUAUAUUCAUGAAUACAUUCCAUUUCUGGAUACCCAAAUAAUGGCACACUCAAACCUUUUAUUUAUUUGGCUUUAUGGGUGACCAUAUUCCCAAAAUACAAGAUGCACAAUAUUUCCUUAUCUGAUUCAUUCUCAUAACAUAAUAUUGGUUUAUGCUU